CCUACGGGAGGCAGCAGUAAGGAAUAUUGGACAAUGGGCGCAAGCCUGAUCCAGCCAUGCCGCGUGAAGGAUUAAGGUCCUCUGGAUUGUAAACUUCUUUUAUAGGGGACGAAAAAAGGGCAUUCUUGCUCACUUGACGGUACCCUAUGAAUAAGCACCGGCUAACUCCGUGCCAGCAGCCGCGGUAAUACGGAGGGUGCAAGCGUUAUCCGGAUUCACUGGGUUUAAAGGGUGCGUAGGCGGGCAUGUAAGUCAGUGGUGAAAUCCUAGAGCUUAACUCUAGAACUGCCAUUGAUACUAUCUGUCUUGAAUAUUGUGGAGGUAAGCGGAAUAUGUCAUGUAGCGGUGAAAUGCUUAGAUAUGACAUAGAACACCUAUUGCGAAGGCAGCUUACUACGCAUAUAUUGACGCUGAGGCACGAAAGCGUGGGGAUCAAACAGGAUUAGAUACCCUGGUAGUCCACGCCCUAAACGAUGGAUACUCGACAUACGCGAUACACUGUGUGUGUGUGAGNGAAGAGAAUAAGUAUUCCACCGUGAGUUACGUCGCGAGAGAGAGACGAAGAAGUUAGAGGCGNGAGAGNGCGACGGACGACGACGAGGAGUAGG
rnacentral:rRNA from 1 species